rnacentral:rRNA from 1 species
AUUGAACGCUGGCGGCAGGCCUAACACAUGCAAGUCGAACGAGUGGCGGACGGGUGAGUAAUGUAUGGGAAACUGCCCGAUGGAGGGGGAUAACUACUGGAAACGGUAGCUAAUACCGCAUACCAUCGGAUGAGCCUAGGUCGGAUUAGCUAGCUGGGGUGGUAAAGGCCUACCAAGGCGACGAUCCGUAACUGGUCUGAGAGGAUGAUCAGGCACAAUGGAAAUGAGACACGGUCCGUAGCUCUACUGGAGGCAGGCGUGGGGAAUAUUGGACAAUGGGCGCAAGCCUGAUCCAGGCAUGGCGCGUGUGUGAAGAAGGGCUUCGGAUUGUAAAGCACUUUAAGUUGGGAGGCGUUACCCACAGAAUGAGCACCGGCUAACUUCGUGCCAGCAGCCGCGGUAAUAC